rnacentral:rRNA from 1 species
UCUGUCAAGUCGGAUGUGAAAUCCCCGGGCUCAACCUGGGAACUGCAUUCGAAACUGGCAGGCUAGAGUCUUGUAGAGGGGGGUAGAAUUCCAGGUGUAGCGGUGAAAUGCGUAGAGAUCUGGAGGAAUACCGGUGGCGAAGGCGGCCCCCUGGACAAAGACUGACGCUCAGGUGCGAAAGCGUGGGGAGCAAACAGGAUUAGAUACCCUGGUAGUCCACGCCGUAAACGAUGUCGAUUUGGAGGUUGUGCCCUUGAGGCGUGGCUUCCGGAGCUAACGCGUUAAAUCGACCGCCUGGGGAGUACGGCCGCAAGGUUAAAACUCAAAUGAAUUGACGGGGGCCCGCACAAGCGGUGGAGCAUGUGGUUUAAUUCGAUGCAACGCGAAGAACCUUACCUGGUCUUGACAUCCACAGAACUUAGCAGAGAUGCUUUGGUGCCUUCGGGAACUGUGAGACAGGUGCUGCAUGGCUGUCGUCAGCUCGUGUUGUGAAAUGUUGGGUUAAGUCCCGCAACGAGCGCAACCCUUAUCCUUUGUUGCCAGCGGUCCGGCCGGGAACUCAAAGGAGACUGCCAGUGAUAAACUGGAGGAAGGUGGGGAUGACGUCAAGUCAUCAUGGCCCUUACGACCAGGGCUACACACGUGCUACAAUGGCAUAUACAAAGAGAAGCGACCUCGCGAGAGCAAGCGGACCUCAUAAAGUAUGUCGUAGUCCGGAUUGGAGUCUGCAACUCGACUCCAUGAAGUCGGAAUCGCUAGUAAUCGUAGAUCAGAAUGCUACGGUGAAUACGUUCCCGGGCCUUGUACACACCGCCCGUCACACCAUGGGAGUGGGUUGCAAAAGAAGUAGGUAGCUUAACCUUCGGGAGGGCGCUUACCACUUUGUGAUUCAUGACUGGGGUGAAGUCGUAACAAGGUAACCGUAGGGGAACCUGCGGUUGGAUCACCUCCUU